CAAGCUGGCUGGAAUUGAGUUCUG
rnacentral:piRNA from 1 species